rnacentral:rRNA from 1 species
AGCCUACGGGGGGCAGCAGUGAGGAAUAUUGGUCAAUGGGCGAGAGCCUGAACCAGCCAAGUCGCGUGAGGGAGUACUGCCCUAUGGGUUGUAAACCUCUUUUGUCGGGGAGCAAAAGCCGGACGUGUCCGGCUGUGAGAGUACCCGGAGAAAAAGCAUCGGCUAACUCCGUGCCAGCAGCCGCGGUAAUACGGAGGAUGCGAGCGUUAUCCGGAUUUAUUGGGUUUAAAGGGUGCGUAGGCGGACCGUCAAGUCAGCGGUAAAAUACGGGGGCUCAACCUCCGCCCGCCGUUGAAACUGACGGU